CCUACGGGAGGCAGCAGUGAGGAAUAUUGGUCAAUGGACGAGAGUCUGAACCAGCCAAGUAGCGUGAAGGAUGACUGCCCUAUGGGUUGUAAACUUCUUUUAUAUGGGAAUAAAACGUUCCACGUGUGGGAUUUUGUAUGUACCAUAUGAAUAAGGAUCGGCUAACUCCGUGCCAGCAGCCGCGGUAAUACGGAGGAUCCGAGCGUUAUCCGGAUUUAUUGGGUUUAAAGGGAGCGUAGGUGGAAUGUUAAGUCAGUUGUGAAAGUUUGCGGCUCAACCGUAAAAUUGCAGUUGAAACUGGCAGUCUUGAGUACAGUAGAGGUGGGCGGAAUUCGUGGUGUAGCGGUGAAAUGCUUAGAUAUCACGAAGAACUCCGAUUGCGAAGGCAGUUCACUGGACUGCAACUGACACUGAGGCUCGAAAGUGUGGGUAUCAAACAGGAUUAGAUACCCUUGUAGUC
rnacentral:rRNA from 1 species